rnacentral:rRNA from 1 species
UGGGGAAUAUUGCACAAUGGGCGGAAGCCUGAUGCAGCGACGCCGCGUGGGGGAUGAAGGCCUUCGGGUUUUAAACUCCUUUCGACAGGGACGAAGCUUUUGUGACGGUACCUGUAUAAGAAGCACCGGCUAACUACGUGCCAGCAGCCGCGGUCAUACGUAGGGUGCGAGCGUUGUCCGGAAUUACUGGGCGUAAAGAGCUCGUAGGUGGUUUGUCGCAUCGUCUGUGAAAUUCCGGGGCUUAACUCCGGGCGUGCAGGCGAUACGGGCUGACUUGAGUGCUGUAGGGGAGACUGGAAUUCCUGGUGUAGCGGGGAAAAGCGCAGAUAUCAGGAGGAACACCGAUGGCGAAGGCAGGUCUCUGGGCAGUAACUGACGCUGAGGAGCGAAAGCAUGGGUAGCGAACAGG